GCGAGAUGGCUCAGUGGUUAAGAGCACUGACUGUUCUUCCAAAUAGUCCUGAGUUCAAUUCUCAGCAAUCACA
rnacentral:tRNA from 1 species